rnacentral:rRNA from 1 species
AUUGAACGCUGGCGGCAUGCCUUACACAUGCAAGUCGAACGGCAGCACGGGUGCUUGCACCUGGUGGCGAGUGGCGAACGGGUGAGUAAUACAUCGGAACAUGUCCUGUAGUGGGGGAUAGCCCGGCGAAAGCCGGAUUAAUACCGCAUACGAUCUACGGAUGAAAGCGGGGGACCUUCGGGCCUCGCGCUAUCGGGUUGGCCGAUGGCUGAUUAGCUAGUUGGUGGGGUAAAGGCCUACCAAGGCGAAGAUCAGUAGCUGGUCUGAGAGGACGACCAGCCACACUGGGAAUGAGACACGGCCCAGACUCCUACGGGAGGCAGCAGUGGGGAAUUUUGGACAAUGGGCGAAAGCCUGAUCCAGCAAUGCCGCGUGUGUGAAGAAGGCCUUCGGGUUGUAAAGCACUUUUGUCCGGAAAGAAAUCCUUGGCCCUAAUACGGUCGGGGGAUGACGGUACCGGAAGAAUAAGCACCGGCUAACUACGUG